rnacentral:rRNA from 1 species
GACGAACGCUGGCGGCGUGCUUAACACAUGCAAGUCGAACGCUGAAGCACCAGCUUGCUGGUGUGGAUGAGUGGCGAACGGGUGAGUAAUACGUGAGUAACCUGCCCUUGACUCUGGGAUAAGCCCGGGAAACUGGGUCUAAUACUGGAUGCUACAUGUCACCGCAUGGUGGUGUGUGGAAAGGGUUUACUGGUCUUGGAUGGGCUCACGGCCUAUCAGCUUGUUGGUGAGGUAAUGGCUCACCAAGGCGACGACGGGUAGCCGGCCUGAGAGGGUGACCGGCCACACUGGGACUGAGACACGGCCCAGACUCCUACGGGAGGCAGCAGUGGGGAAUAUUGCACAAUGGGCGAAAGCCUGAUGCAGCGGCGCCGCGUGAGGGAUGACGGCCUUCGGGUUGGAAACCUCUUUCAGCAGGGAAGAAGCCACAAGUGACGGUACCUGCAGAAGAAGCGCCGGCUAACUACGUG